rnacentral:rRNA from 1 species
CGGGACGGGUGAGUAAUGUCUGGGAAACUGCCUGAUGGAGGGGGGAGAACGCUGGAAACGGUAGCUAAUACCGCAUAACGUCGCAAGACCAAAGAGGGGGACCUUCGGGCCUCUUGCCAUCGGAUGUGCCCAGAUGGGAUUAGCUAGUAGGUGGGGUAACGGCUCACCUAGGCGACGAUCCCUAGCUGGUCUGAGAGGAUGCCAGCCACACUGGAACUGAGACACGGUCCAG